rnacentral:rRNA from 1 species
GGAUUAGAUACCCUGGUAGUCCACGCCGUAAACGAUGUGCACUAGAUCGAGGGGGUUCUGACACCGCUCUCGGUCGAAGCGAAAGUGUUAAGUGCACCGCCUGGGGAGUACGGUCGCAAGGCUAAAACUCAAAGGAAUUGACGGGGGCUCACACAAGCGGUGGAGCAUGUGGCUUAAUUCGAAACAACGCGAAGAACCUUAUCCUGGGUUUGACAUGUAUGAAUUAGCUCUGUGAAAACAGAGUGACGCGGCUUGCCGUGGAACAUACACAGGUGCUGCAUGGCUGUCGUCAGCUCGUGCCG